AGACCCCAGAGUUCUGAGCCAAGCCCUGCCCCGCCCCUCUCCUCGCUCCCAGGCCUAGCUUCCUGUCCUCCAGCUGCUUUUCCUGAUAUUGGUAGAGCUUUUUUGUUGGCUGCGCCUCAUGGAUUUACAGCCUCAGCGUUGACUCCAGAUUCAGCCCUUGCCAUCUUGCUCCCCACCUUGAGAGCAGCAGCACCAAAAAUAGCAGCAUGAGUCACUGAAGCAUCGGGCAUCGUCGUCAAGGGCCAGGACGCCUGCUGCGGUGGAGCUUCUGCUUGAUUUCCAGGGACCUGGGGAAGGGAACCCUGGCCAGCUGGCCCCCAUCACUGCCUCCUGGACCCUGGGGGAGAGCUGAGUUCACUAAGAAAUUUGAAGCCUGAACUGGUGGAAAUGUUAAUGUUCAGAAUGGCUUUACCAUGACACUGCAUAAGGACCUCAGGGUCCCUCAUUUGCACCCCUUCUAAAGUUCUAUACUUUUUUUUUUUUACACUGUAUUUUAUUUUUCUUUUCUGAAAGAGGGCUCUCAAAGUUUUAUGUUUCAGGUCUGAGAAAACAAGCAUGGGUUAAUUUUGUUUAAUUCUUAUUGUGACCUUGGGAAACCAUUGGCUUGUCUUCUCUAUUUACAGACAAAGGAUACGAGAGCAGAGAAAAGCCUUCCUUGGGUUCCUGGAAAAUUCCAGGUUUGUUUCAGCCUCAGGGCCUUUGCAGUUCCUAUUGCCCUGUCUUGAACUCUGUCCCUGGCUUGGGGCUUUUACUAAGCAACAACUGCUGGGCCCUCCUUCCCUGCCUCCCUGGUAACUACUCUUUAUCUUUACUUUUUGUUUUCUUUAUGUAGCAUUCACCACUCCAGAAUUAUCUUCAUUUGUGCAUCUACUUCUUUAACAAAUGCUUAUGGUACAUAUUCUGCCAUCAGGCACUGUUGUCAGCUUUAUAAAUAUGAAAUCAUUCAGUCCUCACUACUCUGACACUGAAACUUGUCCAUCCACACUUUAAAAUGAAAGCAACUGAAGCAUGGAGAGGUUAAGCAGAUUGCCAAAAGUCACACAGCUGGUGAGUUACAGUACCACCUGUCUCCCCCACUGGAAGACAAGGUUCACCUGUGCAGAGCCUGUAGCUGAGGCCUGCCCUGCUCACUCAAGAGCCCCUGUACCCAGAGCAGUGUGCCACACAUACAAUCGUACAAACAGGAUAUGAGACAGCAAAGGCCAGGUCACAGAGAAGGAGGGACGGGAGAGAAGCCUGGAGAGAGGCUGUGGGGGAGAUGAUGGAAGGCCUCGAAGGGCCUCAAGCGCUGAAGGACGAGCCGGGCUGGGGGGCAGCAUUGGGACCGGCAGGAGUGUGGUGGUCUGGGCACCGUGCCAAGAAAGGCAGGAUCUUGUUGACAGAUUUAACUUAGCAGGUAGGCGGGCAAACGCCUUGGAGUUAACCUCCUUCCUUCAUGCCCUGCAUCCAUUACAUGAACAGACCCUGUCAGCACCUCCAAAAUGCAUUCCUAAUCCCACUUUUCUCACCCAAAUUCUGCUCCCACCUGGCCCACAGCUCCAUCACAGCUUUCCUGGAAUCCUGCCACGGCCAACUAGGAGGUCCCCUGGGCUUUCAGCCUCGUCCCUGACACAGCAGUCAGGGGGAUCCUGAUAAACCUGUCAGAUCACAUCACUUUCCUGCUCAAAAUCCGCUGGCAUGUUCCAAAGUGAACACAACGCCAUCUCAUACUGCAGGGUCUCCUGCCCACCCCUAGUUCCUCUAGUCGCCCCUCCUUCCUACCCCCGCCAUUUUGGCUACCCCAAGGCCUUUGCAUUUGACCUUCCCUCUGACUGGCAAGCUUCUUCCCUAGGAGUUCCAUGAAUCUCACUCUUUCACUUCCUCAGGUUUUUUCUCAAGUAUGAGCUUCUCACUGGGGUCUGAUCUGGUCCCCCUGCUGAAAAUGCAACACUGCCCACUUACCCAGUGCUCUGUCUCUACUGCUGGUUCUACGUGCAAACUUUGAUUUUUUAAUUCCUCACUGCACCUCCCCAGUGCCCACAAUUAUACCUAAAACACUACAGGGCAUAUUUGAUUAAGCUAGGUGCAAGACACUGUAUAACCUACAUGGAAGACAAAAAUAUAAACGAAAAUAGACACAAGGCCCUUGUAGGCCCUACAAAAUAUGCCAUGGAUGGAUACCAAAGUUGCUGCUGUAGGACUCGUGUGGCCCAUGGCGUAGUGAAAGCAAAUAAACUGGCAGACAGAAAUGAGUGAGCUGCUUGCAAGCAGGUCGCCAGAGAACCUUGACAGCUCUUAUUAGCCUGCAAGACCUGGCAGAGUUGGUGGAAGGGGGAUGCCAGCAGAGGAAACAUCUUGCAGGCAGGCCCAAAAUAAAGGAGCCCACCUAGCUCAAGGAACAGACGAAGAGUGCGCCUGGAGUUUGGUGCUGAAGGUACCCGUCCUGCCUUUCGCAAGAGGGCAACGAUUUUAAGAAUCGCCCAGGACGCCGCCAGUAGGUGAUCAAGCACCUCAGUGAGGUCUUUUGUUUCCUUCAUCCCCUUACCUCCGAAUAACGGAGGCAGAGACCCUUCAUUAACGGCUAAAAACUCUACUGCACGAAUGUGAACAAUCCCACGCCACGGCCCUCUACCCGCGAGGUUCAGCGAGGGUGUGCAUCUCCACCGAGGAGAUCGGCCAAGAUGAAAUUCCGAGCCAGUCCUACCCGAGCCCCAGCGCCUUCACCAUCACGCGGGAUUUUGGGACACCCAGAACCCAAUACUGGGAUUCAGGGACGGGCCAGGCUGCGCUCCCGAGGCCAAUCCAAACUGUCACCCUCACUGGCUGGGACCCCUGAGCCUGACACUCCGGCGAAGGACCAAGACUCAAUGCCGCCGGAUAGACGCGAACUGUUUCAGACUGACUCGCCGCAGACCGACGGAAGAAGCGGCCCGGGCGGACCCACCAAACCCACACCCUCAGAAACGACCACUGCAGAGCGUGUCUGUGGCCUCAGACUCCCAUAACCCACCGCUGCUGUAAAAACCCUACCCUGCUCUUUGAAGG
ensembl:lncRNA